GUGCCAGCCGCCGCGGUAAUACGGAGGGUGCAAGCGUUAUCCGGAUUUACUGGGUUUAAAGGGUGCGUAGGUGGGUCUGUAAGUCAGUGGUGAAAUCUCUGAGCUUAACUCAGAAACUGCCGUUGAUACUAUCUGUCUUGAAUAUCGUGGAGGUGAGCGGAAUAUGUCAUGUAGCGGUGAAAUGCUUAGAUAUGACAUAGAACACCUAUUGCGAAGGCAGCUUACUACGCAGAGAUUGACGCUCAUGCACGAAAGCGUGGGGAUCAAACAGGAUUAGAUACCCUGGUAGUCC
rnacentral:rRNA from 1 species